rnacentral:rRNA from 1 species
AUUGAACGCUGGCGGCAUGCCUUACACAUGCAAGUCGAGCGCGAAAGGGGGCAACCCCGAGUAGAGCGGCGGACGGGUGAGUAACGCAUCGGAACGUGCCCAGUAGUGGGGGACAACCUCGAGAAAUCGAGGCUAAUACCGCAUACGACCCACGGGUGAAAGCGGGGGACCGCAAGGCCUCGCGCUAUUGGAGCGGCCGAUGUCCGAUUAGCUAGUUGGCGGGGUAAGAGCCCACCAAGGCGACGAUCGGUAGCUGGUCUGGGAGGACGACCAGCCACACUGGGACUGAGACACGGCCCAGACUCCUACGGGAGGCAGCAGUGGGGAAUUUUGGACAAUGGGGGCAACCCUGAUCCAGCCAUGCCGCGUGCGGGAAGAAGGCC